CAAGAUGUAGCUUAAAUAAAGCAUCUGGCCUACACCCAGAAGAUUUCAUAUUGAACUGACCAUCUUGA
rnacentral:tRNA from 1 species